UAUCGAAAGCGGUACGGACGUGGCAGCUCUUGGCGAAUAUAAAACCACGAUUAUGAGAACUUGAAAGUGUUAAACGAAAUCAAACGAAAAAUUAAAAAAAGAUAAAAAAGUGCUUUCCAAAAAAUUGCUAACUGCAAGUGCCAUAUAAGCUUUCGCUGAGUCUAAACCAGUGAGUUGAAUAAAUUUUGCAUCUCUUCUUGCACAAAAUGUGGCUGAAAGCGUUCAGUGUAGCCGUAUUGGCGUUAUGUGCUGGAGCGGCAGCGUCGAAUUUGGACCGUUAUGAAGGGUA
rnacentral:sRNA from 1 species